UCAAACAUGGUGUAGUGGUUAGAAUGUUGGACUAUGAUUCUAGAGACCAGGGUUUGAAUCCCUACAUGAC